GUGCAUGAAAUUGCUGAGUUUUUCAAGAGAUCAGAUGCACCUUUUCAAAAUAAGAACAUUUUUCUAAGAGAAAUAUAUGAAGCUCAUGCCCAACUCAAGACUUGUCUAAAGCCCAAACUUAACAUCAUCCACGAAUCUAUAGUAAAACAGUGCUUCCAAAAAAUGGAUACAUUUGUGUCCAAGACAAAUGAUCACUGCACUUGGCAAGAGAUCCAUGCACAAUCAAGAGAGCUACUUCAAAGAAUUGAAAACUACUCUUUCAGGAGA